GAACCUCCAUGGGUUACAGGUUAAGUCCUCAAACCAUGAACUGUAUCGUGAAGCGCCACAGCACCCAGGGAAAGAUCAAUUUUGAUGAUUAUGUUGCCUGCUGUGUCAAACUGAGAAGCCUGACUGAUAUAUUCCGCAGGAGAGACCAGGGACAAAAUGGAACUGCUAUGUUUCAGUAUGACGAUUUCAUCCAGUGCACUAUGAGCACCUGAGGGAAAUCUCUGGAACAAGGAAAAUCUGAUUUAUUUCAGCAUCACUGUUUGUCAUGAGCUUUUUUUUUUUUUAUACAAGUGCUUCUUUUUUAAACAUCUGCCCUAACUAAUAACAAACGAAACAACUAUUAUGUUUAACGGUUAUGUGCAUGUUUAUAAGGUUAAUACUUUUUGGAAUUUGAUUUGUUAAAUAAUUAAAUAUAUAUUAAAGGACCAAACCACUUAUAAAUGAACUGUGUAACCCAAAGCUUGUAUUUAAUGAUAAAAAAAAAAAAAAUCACAUCUUUGCUAUUGAUGGAUUUGUUUAUUGUAUGGAUGAGUUGGGGAAAAUAGUGCAGCUAGUGCUAUUAACCUGGGUUGCCAGUAAAUUUCCACCACAACUAGACAUCUCAGAUAUAUAAAACUAAUUUCAGACAUUGCAUGAGAAACGUAAGACCACUGUGGUGUACAUGUACUUCUGAUCAAAAUUAAACACUUGAUAAUCCCA